rnacentral:rRNA from 1 species
UACGUAGGGUCCGAGCGUUUAAUCGGAAUUACUGGGCGUAAAGCGUGCGCAGGCGGUUUUGUAAGCCAGAUGUGAAAUCCCCCGAGCUUAACUUGGGAACUGCAUUUGGGACUGCAAAGCUGGAGUACGGCAGAGGGAGGUGGAAUUCCACGUGUAGCAGUGAAAUGCGUAGAGAUGUGGAGGAACACCGAUGGCGAAGGCAGCCUCCUGGGCUAGUACUGACCGCUCAUGCACGAAAGCGUGGGGGAGCAAACAGG